CACGAACGCUGGCGGCGUGCCUAAUACAUGCAAGUCGAGCGGAUGACGGAGGAGCUUGCUCCUCCUGAUUCAGCGGCGGACGGGUGAGUAACACGUGGGCAACCUGCCCUGUAGAUUGGGAUAACUCCGGGAAACCGGGGCUAAUACCGAAUAAUUCUUCGGACCUCAUGGUCCGAUGUUGAAAGACGGCAUCCCGCUGUCACUACAGGAUGGGCCCGCGGCGCAUGAGCUAGUUGGUGAGGUAACGGCUCACCAAGGCCACGAUGCGUAGCCGACCUGAGAGGAUGAUCGGCCACACUGGGACUGAGACACGGCCCAGACGCCUACGGGAGGCAGCAGUAGCGAAUCUUCCGCAAUGGACGAAAGUCGGAUGGAGCAACGCCGCGUGAGUGAAGAAGAUACUCGAGUCGUAAAACUCUGUUGUGAGGGAAGAACAAGUACCGGAGUAACGGCCGGUGCCUUGACGGUACCUCAUUAGAAAGCCACGGCUAACUACGUGCCAGCCGCCGCCGUAACAC
rnacentral:rRNA from 1 species